CACUAACGAAGAAGAACGUAGCGCCAACCGCAAAACAGGAGGAAGGAAAAAAAUAGAGAUUUUUAAAAAAUAUGAAAACGUUUCACAGAAAACAAACAAAGUGAAAUGUAGACCGUGCAAAGCGGAGGUUUCUUUCCACUACUGCAGUGCACGAGCAUUCAAAACACUGCACCGUGGAGCUGUGACGUCAGCUUGUUCUUUUGUUUGUUUGUAGUAUUAAGCAGUUUGUCCUGACAAGAUGCAUGCAUGCACCUCUCAAAUAGCUGAAGUCAUGACAGAGAGCAUCUUUAGCAUGGUUAUCUGCUGGGAACAUCAUCUCUAAGAGCAAACCUCACUCAAACAGUGCCAUUGACCUUGACGUAAUGGAUUGUUCGCAUGACCUCAUGCUACACCACUACAAAGUUUUAUCACAACUGAAAGCUUGUCUAGCUAUCGUGUUUAAAGACAGAGUGACAUCACACAGAAAAACUACAAGAGCAUAACCUCCUUGGCAGAAGUAAUAAAAAAGCCAAGAUGGCAUUAUUACAGCACAAAUGGCAACCUAUUGACAUCCGGCAUUUUUAGUGCAAUCAAGAGGUAU
ensembl:lncRNA